AGGAUGAACGCUAGCGGCAGGCCUAAUACAUGCAAGUCGAACGGUGGGUAGCAAUACUCAUAGUGGCGCACGGGUGCGUAACACGUAACUAACCUACCUAUAACUGGGGGAUAGCCCGCCGAAAGGCGGAUUAAUACCGCAUAAGCUAGUUGACUCGGCAUCGGGUUAUUAGUAAAGAUUUAUUGGUUAUAGAUGGGGUUGCGGGUCAUUAGCUAGUUGGUUGGGUAACGGCUGACCAAGGCGACGAUGACUAGGGGAGCUGAGAGGCUGGUCCCCCACACGGGCACUGAGAUACGGGCCCGACUCCUACGGGAGGCAGCAGUAGGGAAUAUUGGGCAAUGGACGAGAGUCUGACCCAGCCAUGCCGCGUGCAGGAAGAAGGCUUUCUGAGUCGUAAACUGCUUUUGACAGGGACGAAUAAGCUGGUCGUGACCAGUGAUGACGGUACCUGCAGAAUAAGCACCGGCUAACUCCGCGCCAGCAGCCGCGGUAA
rnacentral:rRNA from 1 species